rnacentral:rRNA from 1 species
UACGAGGGGGGCAAGCGUUGUUCGGAAUUAUUGGGCGUAAAGGGUGCGUAGGCGGUUUGGUAAGUCUUAUGUGAAAUCUACAGGCUCAACUUGUAGUCUGCAUGAGAAACUGCCGGGCUUGAGUAUGGGAGAGGUGAGUGGAAUUCCUGGUGUAGCGGUGAAAUGCGUAGAUAUCAGGAGGAACACCUGUGGCGAAAGCGGCUCACUGGACCAUAACUGACGCUGAUGCACGAAGGCUAGGGGAGCAAACAGG